rnacentral:rRNA from 1 species
GAUGAACGCUGGCGGCGUGCCUAAUACAUGCAAGUCGAGCGAACAGAUGAGGAGCUUGCUCCUCUGACGUUAGCGGCGGACGGGUGAGUAACACGUGGAUAACCUACCUAUAAGACUUGGAUAACUUCGGGAAACCGGAGCUAAUACCGGAUAAUAUAUUGAACCGCAUGGUUCAAUAGUGAAAGACGGUUUUGCUGUCACUUAUAGAUGGAUCCGCGCCGCAUUAGCUAGUUGGUAAGGUAACGGCUUACCAAGGCAACGAUGCGUAGCCGACCUGAGAGGGGGAGGGCACACAAGAGAAGGGAGACGAGGCACAGAAGCCAGCGGAGGGAGGCAGGAGGGAGGUUCAGGAAAGGGGGGAAGCCAGGAGGAAGAAACGACGCGGGGGGGAGGAGGGGUUUCGUAGGGAAAAAAUCUUUUUUUGGGAAAGAAAAAUGGUGAAAGAAAGUGUGCAUGUGUUGACGGUACCUAAUCAAAAAGCCACGGCUAACUACGUG